rnacentral:tRNA from 1 species
GCCCAAGUGGCGGAAUUGGUAGACGCAGGGGAUUCAAAAUCCCCCGGCUUAACGGCCUUGUCGGUUCGAGUCCGACCUUGGGUACCA